CGGUGGGAGAGGGCACCCCGGGCGAAGGCGGCGAUGGUGCUGCUCGGCAGUAGCGGAAGAAUAGCAGGCGGGUGGAUACCCAGUACAUCCCAUGACAUCAUUCCCACAAGCCUGAUUGCCAGAGGGAUGGAAUCUGUGACUCUGUCCUUGGGAAGAUGGCAGUUUUCGGUUUCCAUGGUUGCUUCUGAGAAGAGGGACUAGCUACUGUGGCUCCUCACCCUCAUGCUCCUGGAGGUCUGCUGAGGUCUUGCUCCUGUGAGGUAACCUGGAAGAAAACAUAAAAGCACUGAUAAAGGUUGCAGAUGACACAAAGAUUGGAG